GGCGGCGCGGCGCGGGGCGGCGCGGCGCGGGGGGCAGCGGCAGCAUGCGGAGCGGAGCGGAGCGGCGCCGCCGCCAGCGUGGUUCUUAGUGUUGCCCUGGAAGCACAGGGCAGUCUGACAUGCCCAAUGCUGGAGCAGUGGUUGCACUGUGGUUUGUGAGGAGCUCAGAUUUGCCUGAGUUGCAUCUGGGAUCUAGAAGAGUAACAUGCUUGGAAGUGCUUGCUAGUGUUGGUCGCCUGUGCCCCAGCACAAGAGCUCCAGCUUAAUCCUUCUUACACGCUUCUCUCAGAACAUGGGGGAAAACGAUGAUGAAAAAUAUAGUCAAGCUGGCCAGAUAUUUGAAAACUUUGUACAAGCUUCAACAUGCAAAGGUACCAUUCAGGCCUUUAAUAUUCUCACUCGCCAACUUGAAUUAGACCCUUUGGACAAUAGAAACUUUUACACCAAACUGAAGUCAAGAGUGACCACAUGGAAGGCCAAAGCUUUGUGGAACAAGCUUGAUAAAAGAGCAAGUCACAAAGAGUAUAAACGUGGAAAAUCUUGUAUGAACACUAAGUGUUUAAUUAUCGGUGGUGGCCCGUGCGGUUUGCGGACUGCCAUAGAGCUUGCCCUGCUGGGAGCCAAAGUUGUGGUGGUGGAGAAGCGGGACACCUUCUCACGAAACAACGUGUUGCAUCUCUGGCCCUUUACAAUCCACGACCUCCGGGGACUGGGAGCAAAGAAAUUUUAUGGGAAAUUCUGUGCGGGAUCUAUUGAUCACAUCAGUAUUCGACAGCUUCAACUUAUCCUCUUCAAAGUUGCACUUAUGCUAGGAGUUGAAAUCCAUGUGAAUCUAGAAUUUGUGAAAGUUGUGGAACCUCCUGAGGAUCAAGAAAACCAAAAGAUAGGUUGGAGGGCUGAAUUUCUCCCAGUGGAUCACCCUCUGUCGGAGUUCGAAUUUGAUGUCAUUAUCGGUGCAGAUGGCCGCAGGAACACACUAGAAGGUUUUAGAAGGAAGGAGUUUCGUGGAAAGCUGGCUAUAGCUAUCACUGCCAAUUUUAUAAACAGAAAUACAACUGCAGAAGCUAAGGUAGAAGAAAUCAGUGGCGUCGCUUUCAUCUUCAAUCAGAAGUUCUUCCAGGACCUUAAAGAGGAAACAGGAAUUGACCUGGAGAAUAUUGUUUACUACAAAGAUAGCACUCAUUAUUUUGUGAUGACAGCAAAAAAGCAGAGUCUUUUGGACAAAGGAGUGAUUAUUAAUGACUGUGUUGAUACCGAGUUGCUCCUCUGUGGGGAAAACGUGAACCAGUGCAAUCUGCUGUCCUACGCCAGAGAAGCUGCUGACUUUGCAACGAAUUACCAGCUGCCUUCCUUGGAUUUUGCAAUUAAUCACUACGGGCAACCAGAUGUAGCAAUGUUUGAUUUUACUUCCAUGUAUGCAUCUGAAAAUGCUGCACUAGUGAGAGAGAGGCACAGACACCAGCUCCUGGUGGCGCUUGUUGGAGAUAGUUUGCUUGAGCCCUUCUGGCCCAUGGGCACUGGCUGUGCAAGAGGCUUCCUCGCUGCUUUUGACACGGCAUGGAUGGUGAGGAGCUGGGCUCAAGGAAAACCCCCGCUAGAAAUCCUUGCUGAACGAGAGAGCAUUUACCGACUCUUACCCCAGACUACCCCUGAAAACAUUAACAAGAACUUUGACCAGUAUACCAUUGACCCAGGAACGAGAUACCCAAACUUGAACUCAAGCUGUGUUCGACCUCACCAGGUGAGACAAUUAUAUGUUACUAAUGAGUUACAACAAUGUCCUCUCGAAAGAGUAAGCUCCAUUAGAAGAUCGGUGAAUCUCUCAAGACACGAGUCAGAUAUUCGACCUAACAAACUUUUGACCUGGUGUCAGAAACAGACGGAAGGGUACCGUAACGUUAAUGUCACAGACCUGACUACCUCCUGGAAAAGUGGCCUUGCGUUGUGUGCUAUUAUCCAUCGCUUCAGACCUGACCUCAUCGACUUCGACUCCCUGAACGAGGAGGACGUUGUCCAGAACAACCAGCUGGCGUUCGACGUGGCCGAGCGGGAGUUCGGGAUCCCUCCGGUCACCACCGGCAGGGAGGUGGGCUCCGCCGGCGAGCCCGACAAGCUCAGCAUGGUCAUGUACCUCUCCAAGUUUUACGAGCUGUUCCGAGGCGCGCCGCUGCGGGCCGUGGAUGCUGGGGACAAGCAAAAUGGAGAAAAUAAUGACCUUUGUUCAGCAAAAUCAUCCAACUUAAUCUUCAAUAAUUACAUCAAUUUAACCUUACCAAGAAAACGAGUACCAAAGGUUGAAGGGAAAGCAGAGGAAAAUGAGACUAACAAGAGACGUCGGAAAGGGCUUUUUGGCGCCGCUGAGGAGGCUUCAGGCUUUUCAAGUCAAGGGUCGAAUUCUGGGAAAGAACCGAGUGAUGGUAGAGAAGGCGUCAACCAAAAUAAAGUUAAAUCGAUGGCCACUCAGCUCUUGGCAAAGUUUGAAGAAAAUGCUCCAAAUACAAUUUUUCGGAGGCAGGAGCUAGUAGAUAGUCCAGCCCUGCUAUCUUCUUCUGGUCCUCCUGUUAAUCCUCGCUUUGCUAAACCUAAGGAUCCAAGUCUUCCACCUCAACCGAAAAGGCAGUUUCAGGUGGUAGCUAGGACUGAACGCGAGGUCAGGGAACCCAAACAGUCUUUAAAUGGUUCUGACCGUAUGGUCAGGAGAGCACAGACUGUAGGAAAAGCAGAAACCCAGCCCAGGCUAUCAGAAAACUCUGAAACUCUCGCAUCUGCCUGUUCUGCUGCAUUUGUACUUUCUGGAGUGCUUGAGCGUCUUCAGCACCUGGAGGAAAAAAUGAAACAGAAAAGGGCUCAGACCAUAGCAAAUAGGGAAUUCCAUAAAAAGAACAUUAAAGAGAAGGCAGCACAUCUCGCCUCAAUGUUUGGAUGCAUGGAGUUUCCAAAGAAUAAGCUACCUUCUACAGGCUUAUCCCACUCUCAGCCCCCAGCUCCCCCUUGCCCUCCUCCUCACGGCUCGGCUGCUGCCUCUUCUCCAUCGUCUGUCGGUUCAGCUUCCCCCACUGCUCCUCCUGCGCAGAUGACUGUAGGAAAGGUUUCACGUGCAAUUGGAGCUGUGGCUGAAGUUCUUGUCAAUCUGUAUGUGAAUGAUCACAGGCCCAAGCCACAGCUUCCCCGCCUUGAACUGAACCGGUCACUGGACAGAGCUCCGUGUUCUUGCCCCAUUUCCUGCUCUCCUUCUCCAUCUUCUGCUCAGAGCUGUCAGGGGUCUCUGCGAAAAGAAUUUCCUCAGUCUGUAGGGGGGAGUGACAUUUGCUAUUUCUGCAAAAAACGGGUAUAUGUUAUGGAGCGGCUGAGCGCAGAAGGCCACUUCUUUCACCGAGAGUGUUUUAAGUGUGAAAUAUGUUCUACAACACUCCGCUUAGGAAUCUACGCCUUUGAUGUUGAAGAAGGCAAAUUUUACUGUAAACCUCAUUUUACGCACUGCAAAAUCAGUAAUAAACACAGAAAGAGAAGAGCAACGUUACAGGUCCAGGGAAAGGAUGCAACAGAAGCGUGGAAGAAGGAGGACCGCAAAGCCACAGAGACCACGCCAGAAAGCACUUUAGCUACCGCGAGCAGUCCAGAGGACAGUUCCCCAGGUAUCCUGCCUUCCUUCUUUAGGGGAGCGCUAGGCUGGCCCCUUCGGGUGACACGGGAUCUGCUUGACAUUCCCAGACGCCUGUCUAACUGGAUGCAUGGUUUUCUGCACGCUACCAACCUUCAUUUCAGGGACAAUGCGUAUAACUAUACCUAUUUGUACGAACUCUUGAGCCUCGGUGUGCCGUUCCUCUGUGCUCUUCUAGAGGUACUUGCUCACAUGUACCGGGAAGCAGAGCUAUCACUUGAAAACAUGCUUGAAUGGGUGAAAAAAAUCUUUAGGGUUUGAAUUCUUCUGUGUGCCUUGCUCGGUUGUGCCUUUCAGAUUUUCAAAAUUGACAGCCUUGCUUUUUUUUGAGGGUGUUUGGCUUUUGUUUUUUUUAAACCUUUUUGUGAUUGAUUGUGUAACUUAAAGAACAAAGAUUUUCUUCUGAUAUAAACUAGAUGCAGUCAAAAUUUUCAAUAUAAAAUGUACUGUAUGUUAAAGAGCAUGAAGGGCAGUGUCCAAACACAUUUCCAGAACUUGGAGAUUGAUGAAGGAUGUUUUAUGGAUAUAUAUAUAAAUAUAUAUAUAUAUAUAUAUAUAUAUACACACACACACACACACACACAUACAUGUAUUUUUUUUUCUCUUUUGUCCUGUCUAUGAUCAGGCCAUUUUGAGGGGUUUACAUUUUAAAACCCUUCUUUUUUUUAUUUCCCCCCCCCCCUUUUUUUUCUUGUUAGACCAAGAAAGAAUGUGUGUUCUUUCAGACAUUUAGGGAAAAUUUAUGACAAAUGACUGGGUUUUGAAACCUGAAUAUGGCGCAUUCCUUUUUCUCUUGCUUUCCCCUUUGCUCUGGGUUAUGAGGUUUAUAUCUUGCGUGAAUUUUUUUUAAUAUAUAUAUAUAUAUAUAUAUAUUGCUCCUAGUCAUGCCUUUAAAAUUUCUUACAUGUAAUACCCUUUGUCAACAGUGGGUAUAGUUUGUACUACUAAUCUAUAUAAAGUUUCAAAUAAAUUUAAAGAGCAAAUCUUAGCUGAGUGAAGGCUUGAUUAAACUUUUGAGUCAAAGAAACUAGUAGUAUAAUUAGACAUCACUUACACCUCAAGUGAAAGCUUCCUCCUUAGAUGGCUGAUUAAGGGAAUAUCAAGUUAUGGAGCACUCAUAUCUAACUGAAAUCACUGCUACCUGUGCCUCCAGGUGGGCACUGAUCUGACUGCAUUUGGAAUUCUUAAAAAACGAACAAAAAAAAGCCCCAAAAUGAAAAGAACCCCAACCCUAACUCCAGAACAAACAACAGAAACGUACACACGUAUUCUAAGGAGAUUGCUUCUUAGCUGGAUCUUCCAUUCAUUUCAGUGUGCAAAGCUGAUGGCAGGAAGAGGAACUUGAAUUAUCUUGAGCAGCUGUUAAGUAGUUUUCUUUUGGGUGUCUCUCAUCAGGGUCUACCUUAAGCAGAAGGCGUCAGUGGCAGGUAUAGGGCUAUUUAAUGGCAAGGAGACACCAACCACAUCCCAAAGCCUGAUUGCUUUCUCUCAGCCUAGUUAGCCAGUGAGGUAAGCACGCUCCCUGACUCCAAAGUGCCUAAAUGUUUACAUUCAGAAGUUAACCAGCAAAGGGGUAAAUACAUAAAUAUGGUAAUAUGUAUACCCUAAAAUGGAAAGCUUCUGUAGCGCUUACUUCUAGCCAGAAGACCAUAAAAUAACAGGAAAUAACAUUGCAUUCAGUUAGUACCAAAGCUGAGGAUCACCUACCAGUGAUCUUAAGUGGCUGUGCUGCUUAAGGCUGUGCAGUUUUUUGAUUUUAACAUAACAUGGGAAAAGACCAUUUGAAGUGGGUCUUACUUGUUAAGUAUUAAAAAGAAAUGUAUUUUCUGUUUAAAAUAAAUGACAGAAACAGGAUUUUUCCUCCAGCUAAUUUGAUUUUCAUUUUUUUAAACUAUGAAAAUGAAGCAUUUCACAAUCUAGAGUUCUUACAUAUUUUGGGGGGAAAAUGUCAAGUAUAUACACAGAACUUGAGGAAAUGGUUUAAGAAAAUUGUUUAGGUAUAACAUAGCAUUUGUUUGAAAUAAAUCGCCAUUAAUGCUGAAACAUGUAUUUAGCAAAACUUUGCUAGAAUUUUGACAGGGCACAAUGACUGUUAAAACAACAUAGUAAGCAUCUGUGUAUAUAUGCGAGGAAUGUAUCUGUACCUCUUUAAAGCAUUUUUAAAAACUGUAUUUUGGGACACUGUAUACGUUUUAAUUAUUUGCUAAUGACAGUAAUUGUUUCACUCUAGAAAGGAAAGAAUCUGCCUUGUGAUUUACCGUGUUACUCUUGCAACACAACAAAUUUAAGUGGUAAAGUUUUAAAAUUUGACUUGCCGACAGUUUUUAUUGCAGUUUGUCACUAGCACAAUCUUUCAGAACUUUUUUCCUGGAAUAUGCUCCUGCUGUUUGCUGUCAGGAAUUACUGCUUUUCAAUAGAGUGAGCAUAAAGGUAAAUGUGCAGAAAAUGGGGAAGUAGCAAGAAACCUGGAAAUCUUUGUUAGCCCACGAACUUAAAGCAAAUGAAUCUUACUAGUAGAAGGUGAAAGCUAAAGGUGGUAUUGGCUUUACGUAGAUUUAUAUAGAAGAAAAAAUUCUACAACAGAAUUCCGAGAAGAAAGCUUGCAUAACUUUAAGCAUUUUCCACAGGCAUGUUAAUUGUAUUAUCUAUUCUCCUGGGUUUUUGCAAGAGCUUUUGUUUUGAAGGUUGUUCACUGUUAUCUAUCUAAUUGGUAGGUUUUUUGUUCUUUUUAAUCUCGUUGUCUUAAAGUUCUAUUAGUAAGAUUAAUACCUGUUUGUCGUAAUGUAAUGAAAAAAAAGGCAGUUUCAUUUUGGCUGAUUCUUCUUUCUGCCUAAGUAACCUUUCCGAUGGCUGCCUGCAUAAGCAAGCUAAGUUCUGUAUUUCUUUUCUGCCGUUCUCUGUGCCGACCUCCCGCGUUGCUUAGUCCCUUCCGUCGCUCCGGCGCUGCGCCCGCUCACGGGCUGAAGCCUCCCUCCUCUCAGAGUCUUCCUAGUUCUUCCUGGCCAGGGAGGACUCUGUCCUCCUUCUCCAAAAACUUCUGUUUUCGUCCUACUUUAUAAUCUUAUUGAAUACUUCUACUAGUUUUUAACUCUGUAUUUAAAUUUUCACAUGGAAAUUCUGUAUUUUGCACACAGUGAAAAUUGUUUUAGCUUUAUUUAUGGUAUUUGCUGUAAAGGAAAAUAAAUGUAGUUCUUUAUAA